UCGUAGUAACAGAACCAAAAUGGCGUAGCGCGGAGGGUGUGCGGAGACGGGGGACGAGGGGACCUUCUCCUCUCCGGGCUGAAAGAAGGAGGACACGGGGACGAGCCUGGAGCUGGAGGAGCAUCGGUACCUCCUCUUCAUGUGUCCUCACUCAGCUCGGUCACUUUCCCGACAUUCAAACCAGAAACAGGUCCGGUUUGGGAGGGCUUAAUGUGUCACCGUAGAAGAAGAAACCCCCCUGGCUUUUGUUUACCAUGAUGAGCAGCUCGAACCUCAGAUCCGCAUCAGACCAAGGACGAGUUUCCAGCUGUGAGAGGAUCAGCUCCAUCGGUGGACCGCUUCCCUCGCCCGUCUGUGGCGGUUAACGAUGAAGAGUCACGGUGAAGAUGACCUCUUUUGGGGAUUCUGGCACACGGCUGUCCUCCUUCCUGCUGGGACAUCGACCUUCUCUCCUCCACGGCGCCCUCCCAUCUCUUCGUCUCAGCUUCUGCUCACGAUCGUCAGUCAGGUCGUGGGAACGUUUGACUUCCAUCGCACACUUUGACCACGUCUACAUGACGCCGAGUCCUCAAAACGAGGAGGUGUCAGUUCUCGCUGCCGCCGUCAGGCUGCGUGUAGACGAAAGUCGGCGGGAUGGAAAGCAAACGCCACACGCUCUGUGAUUAGAUCGGGACAGUUUGGCUCAGCGAAGACACGAGAUACUGUAGCAAAGAUCGAGGCCUGUGAUGAAACUCAAAAUGUGUUUUUAUUAUCGUUUUUAUUUUUCUACCUCAUCGCCAUGACAACCCCAACAGGAGUGGGAGGGAGCUUGAACGGCGCCGCAGCAGUUCAAUAAGUUGAACCUGUACUGAUCAGGUCUGAGGGUUUAAAUCUGACAGAGACGACGGAGCAGCCCAGAAGCGCACGCCACACGCACGCCACACGCUGUCGUUUACUUUCAGUUUAACCAUCGCGAGGAAAACGCCGACUCGCUCGAACUCUGCGUCUGAUCUAAAGGAAUGUUUCAGUUCUUAGAUGUUGUGAUGAGUUUAUUAACAAACAGACAGAACCUGCAGAGUUCCCCGUGUGGAUCUGAACCCGGAGGUCGCUCAGCAAACCGUCGUUUCUGACCUUCGUAUUCUCGUGUUUCCCGCUCUCUGACGGCGUCCUUAUAUCUCUCUGCUUUCUCCUGAUACGACCUUACUGUUGUUUUAUGUGUGAGCAAGUUAUCGUUUGGUUCCUGGACCGCCGAUUUGUAGUCUCCAGAUCGCUAUUCUGAGCGUCUCCAUCUUGUUUUUGUUUUUGAAUCAAAUUGUGCGGCAAAAGACGACCGUGUUGUUGACCAGCGGGAUAAAUAUCAGGAAGUGUUUAAACUUAAGUUUUAAAAACAUGAGUAGUAACACAGAAGUUGCACCAGAUGCGUUUCAGCUCCGCUUCGCGCUCCCUCGUCCGUCAACGCCCACAGGCGGCGUUCUCAGAGCACGUCGGACAGUCACAUGACGAAGGAGUUCCCGCGGUGAUUACACGACAGCGCGAGAUAAAACAAUGUGAUAUAAACAGAGCGGGGACGGAGCGAACUCACAUCUGGUGGUAUUUAGCAGUAAAGCUGUGAUGAAGUGGGCGUGUCUGUUAAUGUCCUGAAACCACGCCCACUCGCGGGAAAGACACGCCUCUCUCAACUGUCAAAAACUGCUCAAAUUCUGGCGUCCAGGGAAGAUCACGUUUCAGAACUUAAGAAGUCUCGGCGAGUUUUUCAAACCUGCAGGUCGUGAUGUUGUAACUCUCGCGUCAUCGAGCCGCCCAUUUAGCCCCGCCCCCCUAAAAACCCCUGAACAUAAAAGAGACGAAAACGUCUUAAAUAUUUGACUUUGCUUUCCCCGUAUUUUACUUCCUGUAGUUGAAGUCGAGCUGAAGGAGACCCCCGCCUCACGUCUCCGACCUUUUUUAAACUUUUUAUUGAAUGAUUUUUUUUUUUUAAUCAAGUUUUCCGGGAUUUGUGCAAUAUUUGAUCUUAACUGUCAUGUUGUUGACCAAACUGUAUAUUGUAUAAAACAAGUGACGAGUUGUUUGAAAAGCAACAAAAUCACCAAUGUCUUCCAUUAAGAAAUGUAUAGACUCAUGUGCGUUAGCGUAUUUAGCAGGACUUGUGGUGCUAACGUUAGCGUAGCCGUGCAUGCCCAGUAGUGAUGCUUGCUUCAUGAAGAAAAAGUGAAAUCCACCUCCAGGCGGCGCUGGAGCUCGGUUACCGUGACGAUGAGCGAGGUGUAGUUCGACGUCUCGCACCUCGAAACAUUUUAGACGACAGCUCCGCCCUUCGAUCUUCGACUCAUCUUUUUUAUUCGGCGUCUCCAUGGCGACGGUACGACGCGGUCAGGGUGUGCACAUGAUCGGAGGAGGUCGUUCUAUAUAUGCAUGUUAUAACAGAUCCGCUCGAUGUUCUUACAGAGGCGUCCUAAACAGGAAGUAGAGAGUCGUUAAAUCAGAAACUAAAAAAACUUUAUUGGAAGAUUUUGAGUUUUUUAAUCAACGGUUAAAAGAUUCCUGCUCGUGUUUUUGUGACAUCUCGUUGUACAUAUUACCUCAUAGUUUACAGAGCGAUAUAUUUUAAUCCAUGAAAUUGUAUUUGAUUAGAGUUUUAGAAGCAAUAACCUCCAAUAAUGCAUGAGUUAAUGUGUUCCUCUUCCCCUCUUUGAGCCCUGAAGUAGCUCUCUGUGCGUCUGACUCCUGCAGGACGUGUUCGAGCUGUAGCAUCAUUAAAUAUCUUUCUCAUGUUUAAAUAAAAGCCCGGCCGUGUACAAGUCUUUGUAGCAUUUUAACAUCAACCGUCCCGCCCUCGUUUGAAAAGCGUCAGUAACUCUGUGGCUGCAAACGUCUGACUCUGACUCGUGUUUGAAAAGCACUUUCUCUCCACGCUCGGGUCACAGACUGUGUAUACAAACGGACAGCGUGCCGUAGCUUCCUCAAGCUGAACAGGAUGAAGCCAAAAUAUAUCUCCCGAGACGAGCGCUGACAUGUCGAGAAUUGAGCAGGAAGAGCCGGGGUAUUGACAAAAACCCACCUUUCACUUUGAGUCAAAGGUCAAAGUUCGCUCAGGUGGGGUCAGUCAACGGCAGAACAGAUUCAUGUGUCUGUUUGAAGCAGACACUAAACCUUACGGAGAGUUCAACGACUCCUGUGUUUGUUUUGUCCACUACGCUAAUAAUCCGAUGCAGGAGCCUCAUUGGUCAACAGAGCUGUCAAUCAUGAGGUUUUAUAUCAAAUAACAGAAACAAUCAUGAUGAAACCAGGUUUGUUAAAAAUGUAUCUGAAGUGCAUUUUGAUUUUAAUAGUUUGACCCCCGUCCCGUCUGCUAACACGGAGGAGGCGGGGUUUAUGAGCUGUACCGCAGCCAGUCAGCAGGGGGAGCUCUAAGUGUUUUGGCUUCACUUGAGGCACUGUGUCCCACUGUCCAUUCUUCAUACAGUCUGUGGUUCUGACUCAUCCUCAUCACUCCAUCCUGUCUUGAACAGUGUCCUUAAACCCCCUGAAACGCCGUGUGGGGGGGUUAAUUAUCCGUUUCUAAACGAGUAGGCGUCUAAUGGAUCUAUGGGUUUAAAAAUAUGCAUGACUUCUAGCAGAGUAAUGAAUGAUUUGUAUUGCAUGCAAUAAUCCAACUUUGUAAUGUGAAUGAGUGUGAGUAGGCUAACGAGAUGUUCAUUAUCAGAUGUUCUGUGACCAAUCGGGGAACGGCGAGCACGUUGACGUAGCGUUGAUCAUCAGCCGUGGUUUAACGCACCAAAAAAAAAGAAGACUCGACGGAGAGACGUCUGAGUGUUUCAGCGCUCUCUCUCUCUGUUGUCGAGUCAUGACCACGGCGGUGCAGCUGAAAACACCUUCUGUUCCCGUGUUUUAAAAAAAGCAGCAGCGUAGGUUAAUGGAUCCACUUCUCCACGCAGGAGGAGGGCUGUGUAGAAACUAUGCACUCCACAGGGAGGAAAUGGGCAUGCUUAUUAUGUGUGAGCCUCUUGUCUGGUUUUGUAUUAUUAACAAAAAAAAAAAGAAAUCUGUAUCAGAAAUUCAGCAAUAAAAUGCAGCAUGGUGCCAAUA